rfam:Ciona savignyi cont_19888, whole genome shotgun sequence.
GUCGUCGUGGCCGAGUGGUUAAGGCGACAGACUAGAAAUCUGUUGGGCUCUGCCCGCACAGAUUCGAAUCCUGUCGGCGACG